GUGGGGAAUCUUCCGCAAUGGACGAAAGUCUGACGGAGCAACGCCGCGUGAGUGAAGAAGGUUUUCGGAUCGUAAAGCUCUUUCGUUAGGGACGAACGUGCUCUUUGUGAAUAAUGAGGAGUAAUGACGGUACCUAAAUAAGAAGCCACGGCUAACUACGUGCCAGCAGCCGCGGUAAUACGUAGGUGGCAAGCGUUGUCCGGAAUUAUUGGGCGUAAAGCGCGCGCAGGCGGGAUAUCAAGUCUGUCUUAAAAGUGCGAGGCUCAACCUCGUGAGGGGACAGAAACUGGUAUUCUUGAGUGUCGGAGAGGAAAGUGGAAUUCCAAGUGUAGCGGUGAAAUGCGUAGAGAUUUGGAAGAACACCAGUGGCGAAGGCGACUUUCUGGACGAUGUCUGACGCUGAGGCGCGAAAGCCAGGGGAGCGAACGGGAUUAGAUACCCCGGUAGUCC
rnacentral:rRNA from 1 species